CUCCUUGGUGGGAGCCUUUUCCUGCGAGCCCCAAAUCUUCCGAUCCGGGUCCAAGAUGGCUUUAGGCUGUAUCCCUUCCUGGAAGAGGGACAGUGCCAAAGAAUGAAGUGUUUGCACCAUUUCCAUGUGCAAUAACCCCAGCUGCCAUGCAGUCCCUUGGAGCCUCUUGAACUAAGAGUACCUGACCCACAUUAACCAUUCAUGCAAUCAGUAACAGGAACACAGCCCCAGGGCAGGAGAUGCACCUUUGAUGCCAUGUGCUGAGAAGGACGAAGGGCCUGGCUGGUUGUUGAGCAGCCUUGCUGAGCUCCUGUGGACAAGUGCCCCCAAUGUGUGCUGUGCUAGGUUGCAGUGCCAAGGGAGCACUGAUCAGCUGCUACACAAAUCACACCAACAGCACUGCUGGAGAGAUAGAGAGAAGAUUUUAGGGUUAUUGUUUCUCAUUUCAUGACCUAUUAAAUGUACUGGUUAUUCUGGUAUGUUCAACUGUGCUAUAAAGAUCUUGGAUGGCUGAUGAUUGCUGUGCUCUUGAAAGGUUGUUUUUACUGAAAUUCCUGAUACUUGCUAUUUAUUUUGACUGCAAUUCAACUGUCUUGCCUGAAUGGCUGUGUAAUGAGCUAACAGCCAGGAUGAACUUUAUGUCUGUUUAAAUGCUUGUGGCUUUGGUGUAUAAUGUAAUAUGAUGCUGUCCUCUGGGACAACGUGGGAAAAUGUAAAAACCAAUUCCAUCCAUGUUUGCAAUAUUAGAAAGGCAACUUCAUCAGGUUGGACAGGCUUGGCUUCUUUUUGUAGUAGGACAGGUAAAGCAAUGCUAUGUUUCUCAAACUCUUUGCAUUAAGAUUUUUUUAAUACAAUUAAAUAUUUGCAGAAGUUACAUCUAAUAGAUUCUUCAUUGUACAAGGAUAUCUUACUUUGUAUUUUAUUGUGCCUUCUACAAACAGUUUGGCAAACCCAGCUUUCUCCUCAUUUAACCACAUAAACAUGGAAAAAAAAAUCCAAAAUCAAACUCAGUUCUUGUAUUCUCAGUCAUCUCAAUAAAGGUUA